rnacentral:rRNA from 1 species
UGCUGAAAGCAUCUAAGCACGAAACUUGCCCCGAGAUGAGUUCUCCCUGACUCCCUGAGAGUCCUGAAGGAACGUUGAAGACGACGACGUUGAUAGGCCGGGUGUGUAAGCGCAGCGAUGCGUUGAGCUAACCGGUACUAAUGAACCGUGAGGCUUAACCUUACAACGCCGAAG